rnacentral:rRNA from 1 species
UACGUAGGUGGCAAGCGUUAUCCGGAAUUACUGGGCGUAAAGCGCACGCAGGCGGUCUUUUAAGUUUGACGUGAAAGCUCCCGGCUUAACUGGGAGAGGUCGUUGAAGACUGGGAGACUUGAGGCAAUGAGAGGGGUGUAGAAUUCCUGGUGUAGUGGUGGAAUGCGUAGAUAUCCGGAGGAACACCAGCGGCGAAGGCGGCUUUCUGGUCCGAUACUGACGCUGAGGUGCGAAAGCGUGGGGAGCGAUCCGG